CAUUACUGGCCUACUAUCACACUCAUGCAUUCUUAUGUUUGUUUCAUAUCAUACCUAUUGUAGCUUCUUUGGAUUCUACAGCACAGAUUGCACAACCAAGUGGGGCUGAUUGGCAAGAAGAAGUGUACCAAAAGAUCCAAACCAUAAAAGAAAAUUACUUCACAGAGAUGAACGAAGUGUACCAGAAAGUUGCUUUGAGACUUCAGCAGGUUUUUCAAUGUCAAAUGACUUAUUGAGUACUGACUCUGAAAAGUGAGGUGCUCACACACUACCCUCUCCUUCUCAGGUAUCCACGUCAUUUGUCGAUAUGUAAUAUCUUUAUUUUCCUUCAACGGUUAAUAUAAUUCAUGUUCAAUCUUAAUUUUGGUUUGCCAACAAUCCAUGCAUGUUCAAGAGUCACUCUUCUUUUGGGGUUCUUGGCUUUCGUGUGUUUUGCUUCCUCUCAUGGACAAGUAAGUUGAUGAGUUGAGACAUCUAACUGAUACAAAACAGAUGAUUAUUUUAAAUUAAUGUGUUUCCAUUCAGUACUUUCCCCUCAUAUUAAAAGUUUUAAUGUGAUUUUCUCAAAUAUAAAUCCUUUUCAAUUCUUCCAGUAGACAUUAGACUGCAAAUCUUCAAUGAAUUGGUGUAUUCUCAAUGCCUAACAGUGUAGCCUCUCAAUGUAUUUCGAUAUUGUUCUCUUCACUGUCUUCAGCUACAGUACAUUAGUGUUAUAUAUAUGUUUUGAUGGCAUAAUGUUUACUUGAAAGACUAUCCUGAAGUGCAUGAUGGUUUGGUGGAUGCCAUUUUGUCUUAAGGAUUUUGUCUUUACUUUUUGUUGGUAUUUCAGUACUAUUUCUGCAGGUUCUAACAUGAAAGAUAAUUAAUUGCAACUCAUAAAUAAUUGCUCCAAUCUUUAAACAUUGAUUCUGAAUAAUUCAGACCAAUUUUUACAACACUGGACAUUAGCAGUAAACUACCAAAAGUUUCUACUUUUUUCUAUGAUUAGAAAAGUGAAGUGGUGGAAUAGAAAAGGCUGUUGCUGAGGGAUGAGCUGGAAGCCUGAAUUUUUAUGGGAGCUAAUGAGUUUGUUGAAGCCCUUUUGCAGUUUUACAAUCAGUUGUGCAUGAAGGAAAUUUGAUGGCUCAGGAAGUUGGAGCAAUGGCCCUCUUCAACCUUGCUUUGAAAAACAAUAGGAAUCUGCUGUGUAAAAUUUUAUAGUUGUUUAGGUGUUGAACCAUGAAGUAAAACUGAUUAUCAUAUGAUUGAAAAAUCAAAACAAUUCUUGAUGUUUGAAUACUGAGACCUUGAAUUUUAGCCAAAGUCUUACCCUUCAUGAUCUUUUAUUAUGAAAAUCAUCUUCAAUAAAAAAAUCAUCUACAAGAUUUGGGCAAUGGUAAUGCUCUAGCUCUUCAACCUUGCAUGACGUGUUUGAAAUUAAGCAGCAGCUUUUUUCUAGAACUUGCACUUGACUUCCUUUAUCCAUUCUCUAGGCUAUUAAAUACUUACAGUGUUUCUCUCUCUCUCUCUCUCUCUCUCUCUCUCUCUCUCUAAAUAGAAUAAGGUAGAAUUUGCAGUUUAUUUUCUUUAUUGCAUAAAGUAUUGUAGUAUAAUUUCUAAAUUGUGACUUCUCUCAAUAUAAUAUGACUGACAUUUGCAGAUCCUUAAUUAAUGGGAACAUGUUUGAAACAUUUUAAUAAUGGAAACACAAAUGGAUCAAAUUAUGCUGAAGUUGGAAAUGAGUAAGAGGUUGUUGACACAUGGUGGUGAAUGAAAAUUGGGAUUGUGAUGAAGGCAGCAAGGAGUGACCAGAAGGCAUAGAGGUUUGCUGGGCUACUGGACGUGAUACAAGCAGGACUGAUCAGACUUGGCUGGGCUGCUGGACGUGGUACAAGCAGGACUAAUAACACUUAGUGUGCAAUUUGAUUGAUCUGAGGAAGUCUUUAGAAGUUGCGGCUGCUAUGAUUGUUACUCUGGUGUUGCUUUGUUAAGAUUAGUUUGUACAUACUCACUCUGUUUGUACAAGAUUUAGUUUCAAUAUUUAAAAAAAAAUGAAGGAACGUUGGGUUUAGUUUGAGGAAAGCAUAAAGAUAUGGUUCUGAUCAAUUAUUGUACCUGAUUGAUGUUGGGAAUUCACUAUUUAAUUACUUAUCAGUUAUAAUUCAUGAAUACCAUUCUGGUCA